CCCCAGGUAGCCAAGUUGGCUAAGGCAGAUGACUGGAAAUCAUUGAUCGCCGGUUCGAAUCCGGCCCUGGGGU
rnacentral:tRNA from 1 species